UGGGGAAUUUUGGACAAUGGGCGAAAGCCUGAUCCAGCCAUGCCGCGUGAGUGAAGAAGGCCUUCGGGUUGUAAAGCUCUUUUAGUCGGAAAGAAAGAGUUGCAAUGAAUAAUUGUGAUUUAUGACGGUACUGUCAGAAUAAGCAUCGGCUAACUUCGUGCCAGCAGCCGCGGUAAUACGAAGGAUGCAAGCGUUAUCCGGAAUUAUUGGGUUUAAAGGGUGCGUAGGCGGACUAAUAAGUCAGUGGUGAAAGCCUGCAGCUUAACUGCAGAAUUGCCAUUGAUACUGUUAGUCUUGAGUACAGUUGAGGUAGGCGGAAUGUGUCAUGUAGCGGUGAAAUGCUUAGAUAUGACACAGAACACCGAUUGCGAAGGCAGCUUGCUAAGCUGUAACUGACGCUGAGGCACGAAAGCGUGGGGAGCAAACA
rnacentral:rRNA from 1 species